rnacentral:rRNA from 1 species
GACGAACCGUGCGAACGUUGUUCGGAAUCACUGGGCUUAAAGGGCGCGUAGGCGGGCUGACAAGUCUGGGGUGAAAUCCCGCGGCUCAACCGUGGAACUGCCUCAGAUACUGUCGGCCUCGAGGGAGGUAGGGGCGUGCGGAACUUUGGGUGGAGCGGUGAAAUGCGUAGAUAUCCAAAGGAACACCGGUGGCGAAAGCGGCGCGCUGGACCUCUUCUGACGCUGAGGCGCGAAAGCCAGGGGAGCAAACGGG